UACGUAGGGUCCGAGCGUUGUCCGGAAUUAUUGGGCGUAAAGGGCUCGUAGGCGGUCUGUUGCGUCGGGAGUGAAAACUUACAGCUUAACUGUGAGCGUGCUUCCGAUACGGGCAGACUUGAGGUAUUCAGGGGAGAACGGAAUUCCUGGUGUAGCGGUGAAAUGCGCAGAUAUCAGGAGGAACACCGGUGGCGAAGGCGGUUCUCUGGGAAUAUCCUGACGCUGAGACGCGAAAGCGUGGGGAGCGAACAGG
rnacentral:rRNA from 1 species